GUUAUUAACCAGGUUUUCAAUUUUGAAAAUCCUGGUUAUUAGAUUGGGGUAUGGCGGGCGGAUGGGCGGAUGGGCGGCUGGGCGGAUGGGCGGGCGGGCGUCAAACGAAAUUGUGUCCGCUCUGUAACUCUUCAACCCUUUGAAGAAUUUUAAUGAAACUUCAGACAAAUGUUUACCACAUCAAGAUGACGUGCAGAACGCAUGUUCCGCAUGGCUGGCUCCAAGGUCAAGGUCACAGUGACAUUAACAUUGAAAAUCCUGUCCGCUCUGUAACUCUUCAACCCUUUGAAGAAUUUUGAUGAAACUUCAGACAAAUGUUUAGCACAUCAAGAUGACGUGCAGAACGCAUGUUCCGCAUGGCUGGCUCCAAGGUCAAGGUCACAGUGACAUUAACAUUGAAAAUCCUGUUUACAUGAUUUUAACUUGUUACACUUUGAACUUUGUCUGGGACAUAACUCUAAAAGUAUAAGAGGUAUCAACAUGAAACUUUGUAGGUAGAUAGAUCUCAUUGAGUAGGUGUGCAAUGCACAAGAACCAUAACUCUGCCUUGCCUAAUUUUUGAAUUAUCCCCCUUUGUUUAUUUUACACUUUGAACUUUGUCCGGGACAUAACUUUAAAAGUAUAAGAGGUAUCAACAUGAAACUUUGUAGGUAGAUAGAUCUCAUUGAGUAGGUGUGCAGUGCACAAGAACUGUAACUCUGCCUUGCCUAAUUUUUGAAUUACCCCCCUUUGUUUAUUUUACACUUUGAAAUUUGUCCGGGACAUAACUCUAAAAGUAUAAGAGGUAUCAACAUGAAACUUUGUAGGUAGAUAGAUCUCAGUGAGUAGGUGUGCAGUGCACAAGAACGGUAACUCUGCCUUGUCUUAUUUUUGAAUUAUCCCCGUUUGUUUAUUUUACACUUUGAUCUUUGUCCGGGACAUAACUCUAAAAGUAUAAGAGGUAUCAACAUGAAACUUUGUAGGUAGAUAGAUCUCAUUGAGUAGGUGUGCAGUGCACAAGAACGGUAACUCUGCCUUGCCUACUUUUGGAGUUAUUGCCCUUUGUUCAUUUUGACACUUUGACUUUGUCUGGGACAUUACUCUAAAAUUAUAAGAGAUAUCAACAUGAAACUUUGUAGAUAGAUAGGUCUCAUUGGGUGGAAGUGCAAUGCACAAGAACCGUAACUCUGCCUUGCCGUAUUUUGAAGUAAUUGCCCUUUGUUUAUUUUUACUUUUUGACUUUGUCCUGGACAAUACUUUAAAACUAUUAGAGAUAUCAACAUGAAACUUUGUAGAUAGAUAGGUCUCAUUGGGUGGAAGUGCAGUGCUUAAGAAUCAUUACUCUGCCUUGCCUUAUUUUGAAGUAAUUGCCCUUUGUUUAUUUUUACUUUUUUGACUUUUGUCCGUGACAUAACUUUAAAAGUGAAACUUUGUAGGUAGCUAGAUAUAAUUGGAUAGAACUGCAAUGCUUAAAGAACCUAAACAUAGCCUGGUCUAAUUUUGGAGUUAUUGCCCUUUGUUCAUUUUGACACUUUGAAUUUUACCCGGGACAUAACUGUGAUAUCAUCAGGAAACUUUAUAGAUAGAUAGAUCUCAUUGAAUAGAAGUGCAGUGCAAAAAAACAUAACUCCACUUUGCCUAAUUUUGGAGUUUUUUGCCCUUUGUUCAUUUUUAGCUCACCUGUCACAAAGUGACAGGGUGAGUUUUUGUGAUCGCUUUUCGUCCGGCGUCCGUCCAUCGUCCGUCCGUAAACUUUUACUUUAAAUGACAUCUCCUCAUAAACCACUAAGCCAAUUUCAUCCAAACUUCACAGGAAUGUUCCUUUGGUGGUCACCUUUAAAAAUUGUUCAAAGAAUUUAAUUCAGAACUCUGGUUGCCAUGGCAACCGAAAGAAAAAACUUUAAAUAUCUUCUUUUAAAAAACCAUAAGAGCUAGAGCUUAGAUAUUUGGCAUGAAACAUCUUCUAUUGAGUGUCUACCAAGUUUGUUCAAAUAAAAGCCCUGGGGUCAAAAUUGGCCCCGCCCCGGGGGGUCAUUGAUUUUCCCUAUAUGCAUAUAGUAAAAACUUAAAAAAUCUUCUUUUAAAGAACCCAAAGAGCUAGAGCUAAGAUAUUUAGCAUGAAACAUGUUCUAAUGGGUGUCUACCAAGUUUGUUCAAAUAAAAGCCCUGGGGUCAAAAUUGGCCCCGCCCCGGGGGGUCAUUGAUUUUCCCUAUAUGCAUAUAGUAAAAACUUAAAAAAUCUUCUUUUAAGGAACUCAAAGAGCUAUGGCUAAGAUAUUGAGCAUCAAACAUGUUCUAAUAGGUGUCUACCAAGUUUGUUCAAAUAAAAGCCCUGGGGUCAAAAUUGGCCCCGCCCCAGGGGGUCAUUGAUUUUCCCUAUAUGCAUAUAGAAAAAACUUAAAAAAUCUUCUUUUAAAGAACUCAAAGAGCUAUGGCUAAGAUAUUUAGCAUCAAACAUGUUCUAAUAGGUGUCUACAAAGUUUGUUGUUGUGUAUAGCAAAAACAUAAAAAAUCUUCUUUGAAAAAACCCAAAUAGCUAGAGUUAAGAUAUUAAGCAUGAAACAUCUUUUAGUGAGUGUCUACAAAGUUUGUUCAAAUAAAAGACCUUGGGUCAAAAUUAGCCCCGCCCCGGGGGUCAUUGAUUUUCUUUAUAUGUGUAUGGCAAAAGCAUAAAAAAUCUUCUUUGAAAAAACCCAAAUAGGUAGAGUUUAGAUAUUAAGCAUGAAACAUCUUCUAGUAAGUGUCUACAAAGUUUGUUCAAAUAAAAGCCCUGGGGUCAAAACUGGCCCGGCCCCAGGGAUGUCAUUGUUUUUAACUAUAUGUAUAUAGUAAAAACUUUAAAAAAAUCUUCUUUUAAAAAGCCCAAUGAGCUAGAGCUCAGCCAUAGAUGUUUAGCAUGAAACAUCUUCUUAUGGGUGUCUACCAAGUUUGUGCAAAUAAAAGCCCUUGGGUUAAAUUGGCCCUGCAACGUUGGGGGGGGGCCUAUAUACAGGUGAGCGACCUCAGGGCCAUCAUGGCCCUCUUGUUUUUAUACUUUCCUGUGUCCAGAACCUUCUCGGGGAGCAUCGCCCGGUUCAACCGGUCCUUGUUUUUUUGUUGCUUUUUUCAGAUUAAUGCCGAUUUAUUGUUAAAAUGCACACUAACAUAAUUUUGAAGACUUGUAGGCCUGAAUGAUAAAAAAACAAAUUACUUGAACAAUAAAACAUGCAUUAUUUUAGUAUUGAUAUCUGAUAAUUUCCAUUCUAAUAUGCUGAUAGAAAGAGAAUCUAU